rnacentral:lncRNA from 1 species
UGGAUCAUAUUCAUAAAGGAUUUCAGGAAUCAACAUAUUCCUCAUUCGAGAAUCUUUCCAUCCUUACCACCGCAAGCCAAACAAGCUCUUGCUCAAACUUCAGGCUGCGGAGGGUCAGGGAUAAAGACAGCUGCCGACACGACUUUGAGUGUACCUCCUUCUCAGAGAAGUCCUCGGGUGGCACAGAGCUGGCUCCAUGAGAACUGUGCUUGGCUUCAGCUGUGCAGGAGAGAAAGGGGAGGUAUCGACCUUCCAUCACUGACCAGCAGAUGCAGGGCUACCCUGGAUUCACUCAAGUGUGCCUGGCUCCUGCGCUCUGAAGAGGAUGCUCCACUCCGCUCUGCACUGAUGCAUUCAGGAGGACAGCAGUUAAGAUGUGGGCCUUAUUUUCCUGCCCAAAUCCUGCGGGAGAAGAAGCGAUCACAUGCUAUUCGUUGUUUCGAGAUUAUUGAAGAAACCACUGCUAUUGAACUGGCAGGGGAUCUUUCCUUCUGUGACCUUUGCCAGAGCAUCUGA